ACUCCUCCAGCAGUCGACCUUCCACAGUGUCCUCCAGAUUCCUCCAACGGACGAACUCCUAUCAUGCCAUCCGGACUUCUCCAAUAAUGAGCUCCUCUAUUCAUCUAUCAGACUGCUCCAAAUACUCUCUGGGCUUCACUAUCAGUCGAUAUUCUUUAGUAAUCGACUACUCUCCGAAUCUCUUCCAGACUUCUUCCAGCCACGAUCGACUUUACUCCGAACUUCUUUCGAACUUCGUCAAUGAUCGAGCUUCUCCAGCAGUAGGACUUCUACAGUAACCAGACUCCAUCCAAGUUUUUACGAUGGUCCACCACCUUCCGAAUUUCAUCCGAGCUCCUACAAGAGCCGAACUCCGUUCGAACUUCUAUAGUGGAUGGAUCCCAGACGAACUUCUACAAUGGAUGGGCUCCACCAGCCAGAUCUAUACUCCAAACUUCUAUUACAAGCGGACUUCAUCCGAGCUUCUAUAAUAAGAAGUCUCCAUCUG
rnacentral:lncRNA from 1 species